ACGAACGCUGGCGGCGUGCUUAACACAUGCAAGUCGAACGGUGACGAGGAGCUUGCUCCUCUGAUCAGUGGCGAACGGGUGAGUAACACGUGAGCAACCUGCCCCAGACUCUGGGAUAACAGUUGGAAACAGCUGCUAAUACCGGAUACGAGACGGAGAGGCAUCUCUACCGUCUGGAAAGUUUUUCGGUCUGGGAUGGACUCGCGGCCUAUCAGCUAGUUGGUGAGGUAAUGGCUCACCAAGGCGACGACGGGUAGCCGGCCUGAGAGGGCGACCGGCCACACUGGGACUGAGACACGGCCCAGACUCCUACGGGAGGCAGCAGUGGGGAAUAUUGCACAAUGGGCGAAAGCCUGACGCAGCAACGCCGCGUGAGUGAGGAAGGUUUUCGGACUGUAAAGCUCUGUCGAGCGGGAAGAAGUGUACCAUGGCUAAUAUCCAUGAUAUUUGACGGUACCGCUAGAGGAAGCACCGGCUAACUCCGUG
rnacentral:rRNA from 1 species